AACAUGUUUUGGGACAAUAAAAGAUCAAUUUGAAACAAAUACCCAUGUUGGAUGCCUUUAGAGUAAGCAGAUCUGCAGAGAAAGAAAAAGAGGUAGUGCAGAAAAAUCAGGCCCGGGCCCCAGAAGGGUGGUUUUGGAGGGUUUGGACAAUUUAGGUAAGUCUAAUGUAACUUGUUAGGAUCAUAAGAGGGGUCUAAAACAUGUUAAAAACAGUAGAAUGGAGUUUGGGUGUUUAGGUUGUUCAAUUAGGUGUUUUAGAGGGUAAUUGAAGUUCUAAU
rnacentral:lncRNA from 1 species